rnacentral:misc_RNA from 1 species
GGAUGUUGUGAAAAAGGAAAUCCUAAAAUUACUAGCUGCUGGAAUUAUUUACCCCAUUUUUGACAGUGAGUGGGUGAGUCCUGUGCAUGUUGUACCAAAAAAAGGUGGGGUGACAGUUGUUAAAAAUGAAAAUAAUGAAUUGAUACCCACUAGAACUGUUACAGGUUGGAGAAUGUGCAUAGACUAUAGGAAGUUGAACAAUGCUACAAGAAAAGACCAUUUUCCCCUUCCUUUUAUGGAUCAAAUGUUAGAGAGAUUAGCCAAGCAUUCAUUCUUUUGUUACUUAGAUGGAUAUUCUGGUUUCUUUCAAAUUCCAAUACAUCCUGAUGACCAAGAAAAAACUACCUUUACAUGUCCCUAUGGCACCUUUGCAUAUCGAAGGAUGCCAUUCGGAUUGUGUAAUGCGCCUGGCACAUUUCAAAGGUGCAUGAUGGCUAUUUUUUCUGAUUUUAUUGAAGAAAUUAUGGAGGUCUUCAUGGAUGACUUUUCAGUAUAUGGAACUAAUUUUGAUUCAUGCUUGACUAAUUUGUCUAAAAUCUUGCAGAGAUGUGCUGAUAAUGAUUUGGUGUUGAAUUGGGAGAAAUGCCACUUUAUGGUCCAAGAGGGAAUCGUUUUAGGGCAUUUAAUCUCAAAAAGGGGAAUUGAAGUGGAUAGAGCCAAAAUAGAAAUUAUUGAAAAAAUGCCCCCUCCAACCACUGUCAAAGGAGUGCGGAGUUUCCUUGGACAUGCUGGGUUUUACCGGCGAUUUAUUCAGGAUUUUUCUAAACUUGCUAAACCCUUAACAAAUCUUUUGAAUCAUGAUGUUAAAUUUGAUUUUAAUCAAGAUUGUAUGGUUGCUUUUUGCAGGUUAAAGACGGCAUUAACAACAGCUCCUAUCAUGCAACCCCCAGAUUGGACUUUGCCAUUCGAAAUUAUGUGUGAUGCAAGUGAGUUUGCUGUUGGAGCUGUCCUUGGCCAGCGAAAAGAUAGAAAACCUUAUGCCAUUUACUAUGCAAGCCGAACCCUUGAUGAAGCUCAAGUCAAUUACGCCACAACUGAAAAGGAGUUCCUUGCGGUAGUAUUUGCACUCAAUAAAUUUCGUUCUUAUUUGGUCAACUCAAAGGUAAUUGUUUUCACUGAUCAUGCAGCAAUAAAGUACUUAAUGAGCAAGAAAGAAGCUAAAUCUAGGUUGAUUAGAUGGAUUUUAUUACUUCAAGAAUUUGAUUUGGAAAUAAGAGAUAAAAAGGGUGUUGAGAAUGUGGUGGCUGAUCACCUUUCUAGGAUAAAAACUGAAAAUAAAGAUGAUGAAAUUGUGCCAAUUGAUGAAUUUUUCAUGAAUGAGCAGUUGUAUGUGUUGAAUUCUGCACUUCCAUGGUUUGCUGAUAUUGUGAAUUUCUUGUCUUGUGGUGUCUUGCCACCUGAUUUAUCUUGGCAGCAAAAGAAAAGAUUCUUGCAUGAUGUUAAAUUUUAUUCUUGGGAAGAACCGCUUUUGUUUAGGAGAUGCAAUGAUGGAAUAAUUAGAAGAUGUAUACCAGAGGAAGAAAUGCAUGAUGUUAUUUACCAUUGUCAUUCCUCUGAAUAUGGUGGUCAUUUUAGUGUCUCAAAAACUGUUGAAAAAGUCUUGACAUCAGGUUUCUAUUGGCCUAAAAUGUUUAAACAUGUGAGAGACUUUGUAAGCAAGUGUGAUAGGUGCCAAAGAGUAGGCAACAUUUCCAAAAGAGAUGAGAUGCCCCAACAGUCCAUAUUAGAAGUUGAAUUAUUUGAUGUGUGGGGAAUUGAUUUCAUGGGGCCAUUUCCAUCUUCUUAUGGGAAUAAAUAUAUCUUGGUAGGGGUGGACUAUGUAUCUAAAUGGGUAGAAGCUAUUGCUACACCUACCAAUGAUGCAAAAGUUGUGGUGAAAUUUCUGAAAAAAAUUUGUUUUGACCAGGUUUGGUGCCCCACGUGCCAUAAUCAGUGAUGGUGGUAGCCAUUUUUGCAACCACCAAUUUGAAAAAUUGAUGAGAAAAUAUGGGGUAAAGCAUAGGAUUGCCACACCAUAUCACCCUCAAACAAAUGGCCAAGUAGAAAUCACAAAUAGAGAAAUCAAGCAAAUCUUGGAGAAAACUGUCAAUAAGUCCAGAAAAGAUUGGUCCCUUAAAUUAGAUGACACUCUUUGGGCAUAUAGAACAGCAUUUAAAACCCCCAUAGGAACUACACCUUAUAGGUUAGUUUUUGGGAAAUCAUGCCAUUUGCCCGUAGAGUUAGAACAUAAAGCUUAUUGGGCCAUAAGAGCAAUCAAUUUUGAUUUACAAGCUGCUGGACACAAAAGAU